UACGUAGGGGGCUAGCGUUGUCCGGAAUCAUUGGGCGUAAAGCGCGUGUAGGCGGCCCGGUAAGUCCGCUGUGAAAGUCGGGGGCUCAACCCUCGGAUGCCGGUGGAUACUGUCGGGCUUGAGUACGGAAGAGGCGAGUGGAAUUCCUGGUGUAGCGGUGAAAUGCGCAGAUAUCAGGAGGAACACCAAUAGCGAAGGCAGCUCGCUGGGACGUUACUGACACUGAGGCGCGAAAGCGUGGGGAGCGAACAGG
rnacentral:rRNA from 1 species